AAAGGGGGGGAUCGCAAGACCUCUCGCUAUUGGAGCGGCCGAUAUCAGAUUAGCUAGUUGGUGGGGUAAAAGGCCUACCAAGGCAACGAUCUGUAGUUGGUCUGAGAGGACGACCAGCCACACUGGGACUGAGACACGGCCCAGACUCCUACGGGAGGCAGCAGUGGGGAAUUUUGGACAAUGGGCGCAAGCCUGAUCCAGCAAUGCCGCGUGCAGGAAGAAGGCCUUCGGGUUGUAAACUGCUUUUGUCAGGGAAGAAAUCCUCUAGGUUAAUACCCUUGGGGGGAUGACGGUACCUGAAGAAUAAGCACCGGCUAACUACGUGCCAGCAGCCGCGGUAAUACGUAGGGUGCAAGCGUUAAUCGGAAUUACUGGGCGUAAAGCGUGCGCAGGCGGCUUGCAAGACAGAUGUGAAAUCCCCGGGCUCAACCUGGGAACUGCAUUUGUGACUGCAAGGCUAGAGUACGGUAGAGGGGGAUGGAAUUCCGCGUGUAGCAGUGAAAUGCGUAGAUAUGCGGAG
rnacentral:rRNA from 1 species